CUGUGCUAGGCGGGGAGUUAGCGGUUCCCUUGACCUGCAAUCCGCUAUAGCGGGGCCGAAUUCCUGUAUGAGAAUUGGCGCCUGGGAUGCUUUGAAGUAAGCGGUGUUGAACAUUGGAGUCCUGCGCAAUGGGAAAUUGCUCAAUCCCGUCAGGCCCGGAAGGGAGCAGCGGUCGGCAACGGAACAUGUGCCGCAGGUGCUCUCCGGUGGAGCUGGCUGCUUCAGAAAGUCCCUUCACCGACAAUUCGAUUACAGGUGCACAG
rnacentral:SRP_RNA from 1 species